UACGAAGGGGGCUAGCGUUGUUCGGAAUCACUGGGCGUAAAGGGCGCGUAGGCGGCUUUAUAAGUCGGGGGUGAAAGCCUGUGGCUCAACCACAGAAUUGCCUUCGAUACUGUAUGGCUAGAGACCGGAAGAGGUAAGUGGAACUGCGAGUGUAGAGGUGAAAUUCGUAGAUAUUCGCAAGAACACCAGUGGCGAAGGCGGCUUACUGGUCCGGUACUGACGCUGAGGUGCGAAAGCGUGGGGAGCAAACAGGG
rnacentral:rRNA from 1 species